AUGGCAGUAGCUCAGUGGUAGAGCUCUCGCAGAUCUCUCGCGGGAAGGUCUGGGUUCGAUUCCCGGUUGCUUUC
rnacentral:tRNA from 1 species